rnacentral:rRNA from 1 species
UACGUAGGGUGCAAGCGUUGUCCGGAAUUAUUGGGCGUAAAGAACUCGUAGGCGGUCUGUCGCGUCUGCUGUGAAAACUCGGGGCUUAACCCCGGGCCUGCAGUGGGUACGGGCAGACUAGAGUGCGGUAGGGGAGACUGGAAUUCCUGGUGUAGCGGUGAAAUGCGCAGAUAUCAGGAGGAACACCGGUGGCGAAGGCGGGUCUCUGGGCCGUAACUGACGCUGAGGAGCGAAAGCAUGGGGAGCGAACAGG